rnacentral:rRNA from 1 species
AACGUAGGAGGCGAACGUUAUCCGGAGUUACUGGGCGUAAAGGGCGUGUAGGCGGUUUGUUAAGUCUGGCGUGAAAGCUCUCGGCUAAACCGGGAGAGGUCGUUGGAUACUGGCGAACUAGAGGAUGGUAGAGGCGUGUGGAAUUCCGGGUGUAGUGGUGAAAUGCGUAGAGAUCCGGAGGAACACCAGUGGCGAAGGCGACACGCUGGGCCAUACCUGACGCUAAAGCGCGACAGCAUGGGGAGCAAACGGG